rnacentral:rRNA from 1 species
CCCUUAGAUGUUCUGGGCCGCACGCGUGCUACACUGAACGGUUCAAUGGGUAAGGUAGUGCGAAAGCAUGACCUAAUCUCGAAAUCCGUUCGUGCUGGGGAUAGAAGCUUGCAAUUAUCCUUCUUGAACGAGGAAUACCUUGUAAGCGUGAGUCAUCGUCUCACGCUGAAUACGUCCCUGCCCUUUGUACACACCGCCCGUCGCUCCUACCGAUUGAGUGUUCCGGUGAGGCUUUGGGAGAAUGGCCUCAACAUGAGUUUAUCGUGUUUUGCCGUUUGAACUUAGUCAAACCUUAUCACUUAGAGGAAGGAGAAGUCGUAACA